rfam:Monodelphis domestica chromosome 8, whole genome shotgun sequence.
AGCUGGGUAGCUCAGUGGAUUGAGAGCCAGGCCUAGAGACGGGAGGUCCUAGGUUCAAAUCUGGCCCAGCUG